UAUGAAAAUAAUUUACGAUCUAGAACGGUACACAAAAUCAUACAUCACCAAUCAAAGUCCCCAUGACUUGCCAGGGGUGCAGGAGAGAAUCCAAGGUUAUCCAGAGCCUUUGUCACCGACCCAAUCUCCUCUCUUGCCAAAAUGAAUGAUCCUUCCACUCGAGGCUAGAACCAUAAAUUGUUACAAGAACAGUAAAAUGAAAGCCAUUGAUAUCGCCAGCAAGGAUUCUAGCUGAACCUUCUCCGAAGCACCGGAGCUCCCCAUCGCCAGACUUGCAAGCCAAGAGUCAUUCUCCAGAGCAACUCCCUCUCCCGCUGUUGUUUUCGGAUUUGGUGUUGUCGCCGUUGCUGUUGCCGACUUCUUACUUGGAGAUGAAUCAGGGCAGAAAGUGAUGGUAUAAUCAGCUGGACCGGAGCAAGUGAAGGUGGAUGUCGGAUCGUCGUAAGCGUAGCUAUAGGACCUCGGACAUGCAUUCUUGAACAUUUGGGAGUACACCGACGGCCGACAGGUCGCCGGCGAUGCAAAUGCUCCACUGCAGCAGUAUUCGGGCUUGCCAAACGCCUCACACGCGUUCCGGCACGCAUCACCUGCACCCACCCUCAGCUCCGCCGGGCACACUUGGUUCAAAUCCGUCACACACCCGGUGGUCGGGCAACCG
rnacentral:misc_RNA from 1 species